UUUUAUUUUUUUUGGGCAUAAGAAGAAAUAGAAAACCUAAUUCAGAAUUUUCCCCCUUUUGGUUUAAGGUAUAAAUCGAACCUUCCUUACCAAACAGAAGGUUUGUUUUGGGUUAUGAGAUUUUGGUUGGGUCAAUGGUUUAAUAGCAGAUUAUCAAAGUUAAAACGCAAUUAUUAAUUUUAAAACGCAUUCAGAGAGAUUAAUUGAUUUUGGUGAAUUGGGUGGAAUUGUGUAAGAUUGGGUGGAAUUAUGAAGAAUAUAGUUUGUAUAGGGGGAAAUAGGUAGAGAGUGAAAGUAUGGGGGGAAUGUAGUUGAACUGAUAUAUUUCAGGGUGACAGAGGCAGACAGCCCAUAAUAUAAUGUUGGUAUACAGUAUUACUCUAAUCAAACACUAAAGUCUUAUCGUUCCGAAUAAAAAUGCGUCGUUCAACUACGAAUAAAGUACGGUGUGAUUCACAUGAUAAUGAACCGGACCGUAUUGUGCGAUUUACGAUUUAGAUUUUGUCUCUAUUCGGAACCUAAAUUUUAACUAUUAUUAUACAACAAUAAUUUAAGUUUUGAUAAAUCACUACAAAAUUACUUGAAUAAAAAAAACACUACAGGUUUAGCCGUAAUUAUCGUCUUAAAUGGAAGAACAUCAAAUCCAUUGAUUUGUUUAUAAUUAAAUUCGUGUGAAUCAAUGUCAUUUUUGAUAUUUCUCAUCGCUUUUGCCAAUAAUUUACGCUGGAUCUUUCUCCUGUCUAGAUUCAAUGAAUCUGAAGGUCAGUGAUAGUG
rnacentral:sRNA from 1 species